rnacentral:rRNA from 1 species
GAUGAACGCUGGCGGCGUGCCUAAUACAUGCAAGUCGAGCGAACGGACGAGAAGCUUGCUUCUCUGAUGUUAGCGGCGGACGGGUGAGUAACACGUGGAUAACCUACCUAUAAGACUGGGAUAACUUCGGGAAACCGGAGCUAAUACCGGAUAAUAUUUUGAACCGCAUGGUUCAAAAGUGAAAGACGGUCUUGCUGUCACUUAUAGAUGGAUCCGCGCUGCAUUAGCUAGUUGGUAAGGUAACGGCUUACCAAGGCAACGAUGCAUAGCCGACCUGAGAGGGUGAUCGGCCACACUGGAACUGAGACACGGUCCAGACUCCUACGGGAGGCAGCAGUAGGGAAUCUUCCGCAAUGGGCGAAGGCCUGACGGAGCAACGCCGCGUGAGUGAUGAAGGUCUUCGGAUCGUAAAACUCUGUUAUUAGGGAAGAACAUAUGUGUAAGUAACUGUGCACAUCUUGACGGUACCUAAUCAGAAAGCCACGGCUAACUACGUGCCAGCAGCCGCGGUAAUACGUAGGUGGCAAGCGUUAUCCGGAAUUAUUGGGCGUAAAGCGCGCGUAGGCGGUUUUUUAAGUCUGAUGUGAAAGCCCACGGCUCAACCGUGGAGGGUCAUUGGAAACUGGAAAACUUGAGUGCAGAAGAGGAAAGUGGAAUUCCAUGUGUAGCGGUGAAAUGCGCAGAGAUAUGGAGGAACACCAGUGGCGAAGGCGACUUUCUGGUCUGUAACUGACGCUGAUGUGCGAAAGCGUGGGGAUCAAACAGGAUUAGAUACCCUGGUAGUCCACGCCGUAAACGAUGAGUGCUAAGUGUUAGGGGGUUUCCGCCCCUUAGUGCUGCAGCUAACGCAUUAAGCACUCCGCCUGGGGAGUACGACCGCAAGGUUGAAACUCAAAGGAAUUGACGGGGACCCGCACAAGCGGUGGAGCAUGUGGUUUAAUUCGAAGCAACGCGAAGAACCUUACCAAAUCUUGACAUCCUUUGACAACUCUAGAGAUAGAGCCUUCCCCUUCGGGGGACAAAGUGACAGGUGGUGCAUGGUUGUCGUCAGCUCGUGUCGUGAGAUGUUGGGUUAAGUCCCGCAACGAGCGCAACCCUUAAGCUUAGUUGCCAUCAUUAAGUUGGGCACUCUAAGUUGACUGCCGGUGACAAACCGGAGGAAGGUGGGGAUGACGUCAAAUCAUCAUGCCCCUUAUGAUUUGGGCUACACACGUGCUACAAUGGACAAUACAAAGGGCAGCGAAACCGCGAGGUCAAGCAAAUCCCAUAAAGUUGUUCUCAGUUCGGAUUGUAGUCUGCAACUCGACUACAUGAAGCUGGAAUCGCUAGUAAUCGUAGAUCAGCAUGCUACGGUGAAUACGUUCCCGGGUCU